rnacentral:rRNA from 1 species
GACGAACGCUGGCGGCGUGCCUAAUACAUGCAAGUCGAGCGAAGUUUUUCUGGUGCUUGCACUAGAAAAACUUAGCGGCGAACGGGUGAGUAACACGUAAAGAACCUGCCUCAUAGACUGGGACAACUAUUGGAACCGAUAGCUAAUACCGGAUAACAGUAUUUCUCGCAUGAGAGAUAUUUAAAAGUUGGUUAUGCUAACACUAUGAGAUGGCUUUGCGGUGCAUUAGCUAGUUGGUGGGGUAAAGGCCCACCAAGGCGACGAUGCAUAGCCGACCUGAGAGGGUGAUCGGCCACACUGGGACUGAGACACGGCCCAGACUCCUACGGGAGGCAGCAGUAGGGAAUCUUCCGCAAUGGGCGAAAGCCUGACGGAGCAACGCCGCGUGAGUGAAGAAGGAUUUCGGUUCGUAAAGCUCUGUUGUUAGGGAAGAAUGGAUAUGUAGUAACUAUACAUGUAAGAGACGGUACCUAACCAGAAAGCCACGGCUAACUACGUG